rnacentral:rRNA from 1 species
UACGUAGGGGGCAAGCGUUGUCCGGAUUUAUUGGGCGUAAAGAGCGUGUAGGCGGCCAGGUAGGUGGGUUGUGAAAACUGGAGGCUCAACCUUCAGACGUCGACCCAAACCCCCUGGCUAGAGUCCGGAAGAGGAGAGUGGAAUUCCUGGUGUAGCGGUGAAGUGCGUAGAUAUCAGGAGGAACACCGGUGGUGUAGACGGCUUUCUGGACCGUAACUGACGCUGAGACACGAAAGCGUGGGUAGCAAACAGG